rnacentral:rRNA from 1 species
AUUGAACGCUGGCGGCAGGCCUAACACAUGCAAGUCGAGCGAGCGGCGGACGGGUGAGUCAUGUCUGUGAACCUGUCUGAUGGAGGGGGAUACCUACUGGAAACGCUAGCUAAUCUCCCAUACCCUCAGACCUGCCCAGAUGGGAUUCGCUUGUGGGUGGGGGAAAGGCCGACCUAGGCGACGAUCCCUAGCUGGUCUGAGAGGAUGACCAGCCACACUGGAACUGAGACACGGUCCAGACUCAUACGGGAGGCAGCAGUGGGGAAUAUUGCACAAUGGGCGCAAGCCUGAUGCAGCCAUGCCGCGUGUGUGAAGAAGGCCUUCGGGUUGUAAAGCACUUUCAGCGGGGAGGCGUUACCAGCAGAAGAAGCACCGGCUAACUCCGUGCCAGCAGCCGCGGUAAUAC